rnacentral:lncRNA from 1 species
GAGUGGUGUUACGAGUUGGAACAGUAAUUAAUCACAAAUUUAGUCCUGACUUAGUUUGGGUUGAAUUUCCUGUGAACGGAUUGGUUAGCCUGUGAUAAGCGGUGUUUAAGGGCAGAAGGAGCGUAAGUCCCAUGUUGAUUCGCUUGUGGUGGUCCCUGUUCAGGAAAUUAUCUAAAUUGAUUAAGGAUAAAAUCGUGAUUAUUUUCUAUUACAAUGAGUAAGAUUAUAAGGAGAUUAAGUAGAGGUAGUUCUUCCAGAUCUCUUAGGUCUAAUGAUAGUUCUGCAUCUUCAUCAGAUAAUUCUGCACAUACAUCACUUGCACAAAAUAUUGUCAAUAGCCAAGAAAUAAA